CCCUAUCGAGCUUUACUGGAUACCGAUAGCGUUAAUUUAGAAUGAUCGAUACUAAGUAUCCUAAUUCUAAGUUAAUAAUUUUUGUUGGUAGGACAGUUUAGUUGGGGCGACUACCUUUGAAUAAGAAACGAAGGCGAGCUUAUGGUAUUAUUAAAAUCUCAUUAGCCUCACAGUGAGGGGGACACCCCUAGCUGGCACACCCCCAAAGUAAGUAAGGGAUGUGGGCGAUAGUGACCCGAUAUGAUUAUCCAAAAUAAAUAUCGAAAGCGGAUAAAAGCUACCGUAGGG
rnacentral:rRNA from 1 species